rnacentral:rRNA from 3 species
GGACUACAAGGGUAUCUAAUCCCGUUCGCUCCCCUAGCUUUCGCGCAUCAGCGUCAGAAGAGGUCCAGCAGGUCGCUUUCGCCACCGGCGUUCCUUCCGAUCUCAACGCAUUUCACCGCUCCACCGGAAGUUCCACCUGCCCCUACCUCCCUCCAGCCGGUCCGUACCCGGGGCACUGUUCCGGUUAAGCCGGAAGCUUUCACCCCGGACGCGAUCGGCCGCCUACGCGCCCUUUAAGCCCAGUGAUUCCGAACAACGUUCGCACGGUUCGUCUUACCGCGGCUGCUGGCAC